rnacentral:tRNA from 1 species
ACCUGGGUGGCUCAGUCGGUUGAGCGUCUGACUUUGGCUCAGGUCAUGAUCUCACAGUCUGUGGGUUCGAGCCCCGCGUCAGGCU